rnacentral:sRNA from 2 species
AAUAUUCGCUUCUAGGGUUCCGAUCGCACUCAAUUCCAGUUUUAAUAAAUUGCGUUGAGUGUGGUGACUGGUCCAAGAGAAGCAGCCAUUUUCAAUCGAUUAAUUAGAAAUAAUUUUUUGAUUGGGAAUUGGUCACACGGAGGGAUAAAAGCCCGGGAGAG